CUACACAUGCAAGUCGAACGAAGUAGCAAUACUUAGUGGCAGACGGGUGAGUAACAUGUGGGUAUCUACCCUUUGGCCUGGAAUAACACGAGGAAACUUGUGCUAAUACUGGAUAAGUCUUUACGGAGAAAGCUUUAUGCACCAUUGGAUGAGCCCGCACUUGAUUAGUUUGUUGGUAGGGUAAUGGCCUACCAAGACUAUGAUCAAUAGCUGAUUUGAGAGGAUGAUCAGCCACAUUGGGACUGAGACACGGCCCAAACUCCUACGGGAGGCAGCAGUGGGGAAUCUUGCACAAUGGAGGAAACUCUGAUGCAGCGAUGCCGCGUGAGUGAAGAAGGCCCUUGGGUUGUAAAGCUCUUUCGUCGGGGAAGAAAAUGACUGUACCCGAAUAAGAAGGUCCGGCUAACUUCGUGCCAGCAGCCGCGGUAAUACGAAGGGACCUAGCGUAGUUCGGAAUUACUGGGCUUAAAGAGUUCGUAGGUGGUUGAAAAAGUUGGUGGUGAAAUCCCAGAGCUUAACUCUGGAACUGCCAUCAAAACUUUUCAGCUAGAGUUUGAUAGAGGAAAGCAGAAUUUCUAGUGUAGAGGUGAAAUUCGUAGAUAUUAGAAAGAAUACCAAUUGCGAAGGCAGCUUUCUGGAUCAAUACUGACACUGAGGAACGAAAGCAUGGGUAGCGAAGAGGAUUAGAUACCCUCGUAGUCCAUGCCGUAAACGAUGUGUGUUAGACGUUGGAAAUUUAUUUUCAGUGUCGCAGCGAAAGCGAUAAACACACCGCCUGGGGAGUACGACCGCAAGGUUAAAACUCAAAUGAAUUGA
rnacentral:rRNA from 1 species